GGAGGCUUGGGAGAGCGGUUGAAUCCAACGGUCUUGAAAACCGUCGACUCGCAAGGGUCCGUGAGUUCGAAUCUCACAGCCUCCGCCA
rnacentral:tRNA from 1 species